GUGGCAUACGGCUCAGUAACACGUAGUCAACAUGCCCAGGGGACGUGGAUAACCUCGGGAAACUGAGGAUAAACCGCGAUAGGUCACUACUUCUGGAAUGGGUAAUGACCCAAACCUAUAUGGCCCCUGGAUUGGACUGCGGCCGAUCAGGCUGUUGGUGAGGUAAUGGCCCACCAAACCUGUAACCGGUACGGGCUCUGAGAGGAGGAGCCCGGAGAUGGGCACUGAGACAAGGGCCCAGGCCCUAUGGGGCGCAGCAGGCGCGAAACCUCUGCAAUAGGCGAAAGCUUGACAGGGUUACUCUGAGUGAUUUCCGUUAAGGAGAUCUUUUGGCACCUCUAAAAAUGGUGCAGAAUAAGGGGUGGGCAAGUCUGGUGUCAGCCGCCGCGGUAAUACCAGCACCCCGAGUGGUCGGGACGUUUAUUGGGCCUAAAGCAUCCGUAGCCGGUUCUACAAGUCUUCCGUUAAAUCCACCUGCUCAACAGAUGGGCUGCGGAAGAUACUAUGGAGCUAGGAGGCGGGAGAGGCAAGCGGUACUCGAUGGGUAGGGGUAAAAUCCGUUGAUCCAUUGAAGACCACCAGUGGCGAAGGCGGCUUGCCAGAACGCGCUCGACGGUGAGGGAUGAAAGCUGGGGGAGCAAACCGGAUUAGAUACCCGGGUAGUCCCAGCUGUAAAC
rnacentral:rRNA from 1 species